rnacentral:rRNA from 1 species
AGCGAGCGCUGGCGGCAUGCCUAACACAUGCAAGUCGCACGGGGGGGCUUCGGCCUCCCAGUGGCGGACGGGUGAGGAACGCGUAGGGACCUGUCGAGGGGUGGGGGAUAACCGCGGGAAACUGCGGCUAAUACCGCAUGACGCCGCGGCGUGACAGCCGGGGCCAAAGGCGAAAGCCGCCCGCCGAGGGGCCUGCGUCCGAUUAGCUGGUUGGCGGGGUAGCGGCCCACCAAGGCGUCGAUCGGUAGCUGGUCUGAGAGGGUGAUCAGCCACACCGGGACUGAGACACGGCCCGGACUCCUACGGGAGGCAGCAGUGGGGAAUAUUGGACAAUGGGCGCAAGCCUGAUCCAGCAAUGCCGCGUGGGUGAAGAAGGUCUUCGGAUUGUAAAGCCCUUUCGGCGGGGACGAUGGUGACGGUACCCGCAGAAGAAGCCCCGGCUAACUUCGUG